UACGGAGGAUGCAAGCGUUAUCCGGAAUCAUUGGGCGUAAAGCGUCCGCAGGUGGCGACUCAAGUCUGCUGUCAAAGACAGUGGCUUAACUACUGAAAGGCAGUGGAAACUGAGUAGCUAGAGUGAGGUAGGGGCAGAGGGAAUUCCCGGUGUAGCGGUGAAAUGCGUAGAGAUCGGGAAGAACACCAGUGGCGAAAGCGCUCUGCUGGACCUUUUCUGACACUGAGGGACGAAAGCUAGGGGAGCGAAU
rnacentral:rRNA from 1 species